CACGCUAUAAACGAUGAGUGCUAGGUGUCGGGGGUCAAACCUCGGUGCCGCCGUAAACACAUUAAGCACUCCACCUGGGGAGUACGUUCGCAAGAAUGAAACUCAAAGGAAUUGACGGGGGCCCGCACAAGCGGUGGAGCAUGUGGUUUAAUUCGAAGCAACGCGAAGAACCUUACCAAAGCUUGACAUCCUGUUGCCCGGUCCAUAAAAGGAUCCUUUUACUUCGGUAAACAACAGAGACAGGUGG
rnacentral:rRNA from 1 species